GGAACGUUUUCUAAAGAGAUUCAUCCAUUUCUGCCCACCUGCACCUGCCUGGGACACAUGCAAAUGGUUUUGGGCAGAUGCCAGACUUUUAUUCUGAAGCCGAGGCCACAACCUAUGAGGUAAUCUUUGGAGUUGCAUUCGAGGCGGAGUGUCAUUGGCAGGUUGGCAAAGCCCCUCCCCCAGGUUCCCGGCGCCCCGCCUUCCCUGAAGCUCAUAAAAGCACAGGUCCCCCGCCUAGGCAUCCACUGGACACCUGCAACUGCCUACAGGACUGAAAGCAGGUGACGAAGACUGCGAAGUUUGACGGCCUGGAAAGCAGAGGCCAGCCGUGCUAUCUGGGAGCGCCGGAAAGCGCGCCUGGAAGAAGAGUGGAGGGGGAAAAACUGUACUGGUUCCCAAGAGGGAGAAGAACAGAGGGGACUGGAGUGACCUGGGGAUGACAGGAAAGCAAAUCAAGUUUCUUCAGCACCGAGGCGGGGGACAGCUCUCCGACGACCACGGAAGGAAAUUGCUAUUUAUUUCAGCACCGAGACUCCGGACAGCGCCGCUCGGGGUCCAGGAAGCGAGCCACAAGCUGUUUCAGCACCAGAGCUCCGGACAGCUCCUAGGGAUAUCGGGGCCGACUUCAUUUCAGAACCAGGACGCUGGAUAGCUUCCCUGGUACU